UAAUCUGGAGGACGAGAUAGUGUGUGUCGGAGUGACACGAUCAACCCCGGAUUGGUCCGAGAUUCCCGCCCAGGAUCUACGUGGGGGCAGCUAUUAGGAAUCUGCGCCAAUGGGGCAUCCUGACCGCCAGCGCCGCCGCUUGCGGAUGAAGCAUCGUGUCGUAAUCCGCUUUUACGGGGAGAGAUUUGACCGUACCCGUCGAAUAAGCACGGCUAACUACGUGCCAGCAGCCGCGGUAAUACGUAGGUGGCAAGCGUGUCCGGAUUUACUGGGCGUCAACGCGAACGCAGGCGGACUGUUAAGUAGGAAGUGAAAGGUCGGAGCUCAACUCCAACAUUGCUUCCUAUACUGGCAGUCUGAGUAGCGGAGAGGAAGGGGGAACGACACGUGUAGCGGUGAAAUGCGUUGAUAUGUGUCGGAACACCCAUGGCGAAAGCACCCUUCUGGACGCAAACUGACGCUCAGGUUCGAAAGCUAAGGUAGCGAACAGGAUUAGAUACCCUGGUAGUCUUAGCCCUAAACUAUGUUCACUAGGUGUCGGGGGGUUUCCUUCGGUGCCGCAGCUAACGCAUUAAGUGAACCGCCUGGGGACUACGGCCGCAAGGCUGAAACUCAAAGGAAUUGGCGGGGGCCCGCACAAGCGGUGGAGCAUAUGGCUUAAUUCGAUGCAACGCGAAGAACCUUACCAGGGCUUGACAUGCACCUGCAAUCCCCCGAAACGGGGCCGCCUUCGAGGGUGGUGCACAGGUGGUGCAUGGCUGUCGUCAGCUCGUGUUGUGAAAUGUUGGGUUAAGUCCCGCAACGAGCGCAACUCUCAUGUUUUGUUACCAGCGGAUAAUGCCGGGGACUCGAGACAAACUGCCUCUGUAAAGAGGAGGAAGGUGGGAACGACGUCAAGUCAUCAUGCCCCUUACGCCCUGGGCUGCACAUAUGCUACAAUGGCGUCUACAAAGGGUUGCUAGCCAGCGAUGGUAUGCUAAUCUCAAAAAAGACGUCUCAGUUCGGAUUGGAGUCUGCAACUCGACUCCAUGAAGUUGGAAUCGCUAGUAACCGCAGGUCAGCAAUACUGCGGUGAAUACGUUCCCGGGCCUUGCACACACCGCCCGUCACGCCACGAAAGUUGGUCUUACCCGAAGUCGCCGGGCUAACCGCAAGGAAGCAAGCGCCGAACGUAGUCCGAUAUGCU
rnacentral:rRNA from 1 species